rnacentral:rRNA from 1 species
UGCCUACGGGGCGCAGCAGUGGGGAAUAUUGCACAAUGGGGGAAACCCUGAUGCAGCGACGCCGCGUGAGUGAAGAAGUAUCUCGGUACGUAAAGCUCUAUCAGCAGGGAAGAAAAAAAGUCUUUGGCUUUGGACGGUACCUGACUAAGAAGCCCCGGCUAACUACGUGCCAGCAGCCGCGGUAAUACGUAGGGGGCAAGCGUUAUCCGGAUUUACUGGGUGUAAAGGGAGCGUAGGUGGCGUGCCAAGUCAGGAGUGAAAACCCAGGGCCCAACCCUGGGACUGCUCUCGAAACUGGCAGGCUU